rnacentral:rRNA from 1 species
AGAGUUUGAUCCUGGCUCAGAUUGAACGCUGGCGGCAUGCCUUACACAUGCAAGUCGAACGGCAGCAUGAUCUAGCUUGCUAGAUUGAUGGCGAGUGGCGAACGGGUGAGUAAUACAUCGGAACGUGCCCUGUAGUGGGGGAUAACUAGUCGAAAGAUUAGCUAAUACCGCAUACGACCUGAGGGUGAAAGUGGGGGACCGCAAGGCCUCAUGCUAUAGGAGCGGCCGAUGUCUGAUUAGCUAGUUGGUGAGGUAAAGGCUCACCAAGGCGACGAUCAGUAGCUGGUCUGAGAGGACGAUCAGCCACACUGGGACUGAGACACGGCCCAGACUCCUACAGGAGGCAGCAGUGGGGAAUUUUGGACAAUGGGGGCAACCCUGAUCCAGCAAUGCCGCGUGUGUGAAGAAGGCCUUCGGGUUGUAAAGCACUUUUGUCCGGAAAGAAAUCGCACUUACUAAUAUUAGGUGUGGAUGACGGUACCGGAAGAAUAAGGACCGGCUAACUACGUGCCAGCAGCCGCGGUAAUACGUAGGGUCCAAGCGUUAAUCGGAAUUACUGGGCGUAAAGCGUGCGCAGGCGGUUGUGCAAGACCGAUGUGAAAUCCCCGGGCUUAACCUGGGAAUUGCAUUGGUGACUGCACGGCUAGAGUGUGUCAGAGGGGGGUAGAAUUCCACGUGUAGCAGUGAAAUGCGUAGAGAUGUGGAGGAAUACCGAUGGCGAAGGCAGCCCCCUGGGAUAACACUGACGCUCAUGCACGAAAGCGUGGGGAGCAAACAGGAUUAGAUACCCCCGUAGUCC